rnacentral:lncRNA from 1 species
GUGAAGUUAUGAAGACGUUUUUGUCCUCUUUGGGAUGCUUAUUGUGGACAGUUGCAUGGCCUAGACAUAGAAUGGCCAACAAAGGUGGCAGCUUCAAGUUCCAUAUGAGCCUAAAGAGUUACCAAGUCAUCUUGUUAAACAGAGAGCGAAAGGUUUGCGGAAGGACGAGUGGGGGAUGGUCGAGGUGGGUGAAAUUGAAGCUGUCGGGAGAAGAUGUCCUAGAAAGGAGCUAUUGGUUGCGCCGUCACGGGAUUGCUCGGCACAGAUCCAUCAAUGAAAAAUCACAAUAAGGUCUUGUUUGGGAGUGAUUGAAGUUGCGGUUAGGUGGAUUUGGCAAUUGUUCCUCUCUUUCUCUAGUUUAUGG